rnacentral:rRNA from 1 species
UACGUAGGGGGCAAGCGUUGUCCGGAUUUAUUGGGCGUAAAGAGCGUGUAGGCGGCUAUGCAGGUCCGUUGUGAAAACUCGAGGCUCAACCUCGAGACGUCGAUGGAAACCGCAUGGCUAGAGUCCGGAAGAGGAGAGUGGAAUUCCUGGUGUAGCGGUGAAAUGCGCAGAUAUCAGGAAGAAUAUCCGUGGCGAAGGCGGCUCUCUGGGACGGUACUGACGCUGAGACGCGAAAGCGUGGGGAGCGAACAGG